rnacentral:rRNA from 1 species
AGCUCCAAUAGCGUAUAUUAAAGUUGUUGCGGUUAAAAGCUCGUAGUUGGAUUUCUGCUGAGGACGACCGGUCCGCCCUCUGGGUGAGUAUCUGGCUCGGCCUUGGCAUCUUCUUGGGGAACGUAACUGCACUUGACUGUGUGGUGCGGAAUUCAAGACUUUUACUUUGAGGAAAUUAGAGUGUUUCAAGCAGGCGUAUGCCUUGAAUACAUUAGCAUGGAAUAAUGAGAUAGGACCUUGGUGGUUUAUUUUGUUGGUUUGCACGCCGAGGUAAUGAUUAAUAGGGAUAGUUGGGGGUAUUCGUAUUCAAUUGUCAGAGGUGAAAUUCUUGGAUUUAUGGAAGACGAACUACUGCGAAAGCAUUUACCAAGGAUGUUUUCA